CUGACCUUAGCUCAGUUGGUACAGUGGUGGACUGUAGUUGGACUAAUCUAAAUUGGAAAUCCUUAGGUCGCUGGUUUGAUUCCGGCAGGUUGGA
rfam:Ipomoea nil DNA, scaffold: scaffold3056, cultivar: Tokyo-kokei standard.